rnacentral:sRNA from 1 species
AUGUACCACUCGUACACGCCGCUUCCUCCGCGCCGUCCGCACCCACUGACGACCGCUCGCGACGUUUUGGUAGCC